rnacentral:rRNA from 1 species
GACGAACGCUGGCGGCGUGCUUAACACAUGCCAGUCGAACGGACAGACCCUGCUUUUGCGGGGUGCUCGAUUGCGGCACGGGUGAGUGAAACGUGAGUAACCUGCCCUUAUCUUUGUGGUAAAUUCAGGGAACAGGGGAUCUUACCGCAUAGGAGCUACUGCUGCAUAGUGGGGGUUGGAAAGUUUCGGCGGUUCGGGAUCGACUCGCGGCUUAUCAGCUUGUUGGUGGGGUAGUGGCUUACCAAGGCUUUGACGGGUAGCCGGCCUGAGAGGGUGACCGGCCACAUUGGGACUGCGGUACGGAGCAGUAGGCAAUGGUAGGCAGCAGUGGGGAACAUUGCGCAGUGAGCGGAAGCCUGAUGCAGAAACGCUGCGUGCGUGAUGACGUCCUUCGGGUGGAAAACCGCUGUCGAAUGAGACGAAGCGUGAGUGACGGUAAUGGGUAAAGAAGCAACGGCUAACUACGUG